AUUUUAUAAAAAUUCCCCCUCCGAAAUCCCCAACUUUCCCCCUAAAAUUCCUAAUCCCAACUUUCCCCCCUCCGAAACGUCUUUUUCUUGUUCCUUACUAAUGCAACAUAUUAUGUUUUUUAUAUGAUUAAUUUUUUCGAAAACACUGUCAUGGCUAUGCAAACCGGAGUAGGUUUGUCGAAGAUCUUGAUCUUAGCCGGCGCCGGUUAUACGGGUACUGUCCUCCUGAAAAACGGUAAAUUAUUGGACAUAUUAGGCGAAUUGCAGUCACUGGUGAAGGGACUCGAAAAAUCGGGGGAGCAAGCUAAUGAUUCAGAUGCACUUCUAGCUCAGGUGCGUCGUUUGUCAACGGGAAUGGGGAUUCUGGCGGAAAAGUACGUAUUCAAACACACCCGGCCAAAAAGACUAAAAUCACUUAGAAUUUAUGAGUCACAUGUUGGAAUGAGUAGCCCAGAUGAAGAUUCAUUUAUGAUAUGUAUAAGUGUGCGAAGAGGUUACCUGCUCGGAUGACUAGUUAGAUCAGAUAGCUUUCUUGAUUUUUACUUAAACAACAUUGUGAAGUUGAUUGUUCUGGCAAUUAUCAUCUUUGAAAUCGACGGCAAGGAUUUACAUUAGUUAAAAAAGGAUUAGGACCUUAUUCAACCAGCAUAAAAAAAGUUGAAAAGGAGAUCAAGGAGAUGGCAAAGAAAGUAAACGAUUUAUGUGGUACUGAUGUAUCUUCUUUCAAAUGCAAGAUGGUGGCUGGAGGAGUAUAAGUUUUAUGGGUACAGAUUUGAUGGUGUGACUUCAAUGAUGUACAAGAUUUUCUUGAUUAAGUAAAUGUAUUAUAUCUUUUAUUACCAA